rnacentral:misc_RNA from 1 species
UACGUAGGUGGCAAGCGUUGUCCGGAAUUAUUGGGCGUAAAGCGCGCGCAGGUGGUUCCUUAAGUCUGACGUGAAAGCCCACGGCUCAACCAUGGGGGGUCAUUGGAAACUGGGGAGCUUGAGUGCAGAAGAGGAAAGUGGAAUUCCACGUGUAGCGGUGAAAUGCGUAGAGAUGUGGAGGAACACCAGUGGCGAAGGCGACUUUCUGGUCUGUAACUGACACUGAGGAGCGAAAGCGUGGGGAGCGAACAGG